CUCUCUGGUAUGAAAGGUUUGACGAGAUAUUAACUGUUUCAUAAAAAUUUAUAAUAGAAUUUUAUUUUUUAGUCAAAAAGCUAAAAUAUAUUUAAAAGACGAGAAGACCCUAUAAAUCUUUAUAUUUAGGUUAUUAUAAUUUUAUAGAUUUUUUUUGUUAUAAUAAUUGAUAAUAUUUUAUUGGGGUGAUAUUAAAAUUUGAUAAACUUUUAAUUGUUUAAAUCAUUAAUUUAUGAAUAAUUGAUCCGUUAUUAGCGAUUAAAAAAAUAAGUUACCUUAGGGAUAACAGCGA
rnacentral:rRNA from 1 species